ACUGCUUUGAAGGAGGGCGGGGGAGCGUUAACCUCCGCGCCUGCGCGCUGGGAGUCGUUUCCCGAGGUAGGAGCAAGGUGGCUUCGCGGCAUCCGGAAAAGGUUCUUUUCUCCCCAUUUUUCUACUAGCAAACAAGGAACUUAAAUUUUAAUAACGGAUUUUUGCCGAUAGAGCUAUCUGGGUUCAAGAUCUAAGAGGGAAAAGCGGUUUGACCCGUUGACUCCAGGAAAGGUAUGCGUGCAUUGAGGACAUUCUUCGCGGAGGUGGAGGGGUGUCGGUGGACGGCAUCGAGCUCUAGGCCCUGUGACCCACAGUCCGCCUAAAUAAAGAUCAUCAUCGCAAGAACUGUGGACGAUUUGAAGAUCCUGAAGCCCUGAAAUUCUUCCCCAAGUUUUGGAGGAGCUACUGUUGUUUUGGUGUAACUCUGGUAAAUAAAUUGGUACCUGAUGAUCAAUCUGCACUUUCA